UUGCUCUGACAUUGUACUUUUUAAUGAAUAAAAAUAGAAGCCAAGUCAGAAGAAGUUGGUACAGUCAGAGAAAUGCUAAUUAAAACAAACAGUGACUCUUACAUUUGCUGUUAUUUCACUGCAGACUAUCAAC